rnacentral:rRNA from 1 species
UACAGAGGGUGCGAGCGUUAAUCGGAAUUACUGGGCGUAAAGCGCGCGUAGGCGGCUUUUCAAGUCGAUUGUGAAAUCCCCGGGCUCAACCUGGGAAUGGCGAUGAAGACUGCAAGGCUAGAAUCUGGCAGAGGGGGGUAGAAUUCCACGGUGUAGCAGUGAAAUGCGUAGAGAUGUGGAGGAACACCGAUGGCGAAGGCAGCCCCCUGGGUCAAGAUUGACGCUCAUGCACGAAAGCGUGGGGAGCAAACAGG